GAGUGCUUUCGUGUUUCUGUUUGUCAGCGGGAAAAAAAAUCUUCGCGGGCUCUCAUAAUCCCACGUAGCAGUGCGGCUGCUUCUCUUCCCCCAGGUUGGCAGUUAGCUACUUAUUAAUACCAGCGGCCACGGUUGUGUCCCAGCAGAGGGUGUGAAGCUGAGAAACAAUUCCUGCUAAUGCUGAGGUAGGGCUGGGGAAGGAGAAGGGUUUUUAAACUAAAGGAGGGGAGAUUUAGAUUAGAUGCCAGGGAGGAGUUUUUCACAGGGAGGGUAGUGAGGCGCUAGCGUGGGCUGCCCAGAGGGGUUGUGGAUGGCUGCCCCAUCCCUGGAAGCGUUCAAGGGCAGGCUAGAUGGGGCCCGGGGCAGCCUGACUUACUGUUUGAGCUAGUGUUUGGCAGCUCUGCCUGUGGCGAGGGGAUAGAACCUGGUCAUCUUUGAGGUCCCUUCCAACCCAAGCCGUUCUGUGGUGCUGUCGUUCUGCGUGGCACAGGCGAAGUGCUGCAAGCAGUGAAUCAGAAAGGGCUGAGUGCUAAAGCCAUGUGAGGUCAGCUUCAAUCUUCAGUCUCUUCGGCAAUGCAAACCAAAAGAAGAGUAAGCAACACCUACUCCCUCUAGAUCAGGAAGUUACCCUGAAAGAAAAGUGAGUGCCAGCCUGCAUUGCCUGGUACACACUGUUACUGUGUGAGCAUUUCCUAUUCAGGUUGCAGAAAGAGAAUCAGCUCAAAGAACAUGACCGAGAUGGUACAGUGAUUUGAAGAGGAGACUGUCAGCAGAAGAAACAUGAUAAUGAAAGCCAACGCCUCCACACAAGGCCAAAUUAUCUCAUUCUGGGAUUAGGUUGAAAUUCAACAGGUGGACGUGAAGAUACUCUCCUCUAUCCUCCUUGUCUUCUCACACACCAGUAUACGUUACUGAAAGACAGGCUGCCAAACUUACCUCUAUCCAAAAAUGAGCAGAUAUCCAGAAAUAAUGGCUGAGUGCUGAGUGAGGAAAUGUUACAAUUUUUGGUACCUAUGAAUUACAAUAGGCAUUCUCCCACUGAGCAUGCAUCAAUGAAGAAAGUUCAUCUAGAGGACAAGUGAAGAAGACCAUUGGAUGAAGUAAAAGACUGUCGAUUGGACCGUCAUUAUGCUAAAAGGACACUAGAUGGUAGAACAGACAGUGGUAUAGAAGACUGGAAGCCUCAUAAGUCACUAUCUGAGACAGGUGUGUGUAUGUUAAUUGUCUCACGUGUAAUUGAUGAAUACAUACUAUCUGCAGAAAUACAAUGGACUGAAUCAUAUAAUCUUUGAAGUGCUUAUGUUGGAAAUAUCCCCAGUGCUUCCUGGCGCCACUUAAUAAAGAACAACUGACUUAACAGUAACAAAACUUUGCUCUUAAGUUUCUACAGAUUGAUUUCUUGAAUUCAACAACCUGUGGUCUUACGAUUUCUUUGCUGAAUGGGAAGUUGUGGAAGGAUCUUUCAUCGAGGAUGUUUUCCCAUGCUCACCCUCUUGUUCCGAUAUUUGAACAAAUUAAGUAAUUUAAAUAAAACAAUAGAAAAGGAAGGGUAGAGGGAGGGGAGUGUAUGAUACUGACACCAGGUAGAUAUAUUGAAACAUUCUAAGGGGAGGAUACAGGUAAUGGAAACAAUAAUUUUCCCUUGGAAAGAAGGGAGUAUUGUCUGUGCUUAAUGAACCUGAAUGUAGAAUCCUUUGAUCAAGUACUUCUUAUACUAACACAGAAUGUCUUAGCCAUUGAUGUAAUCCGAUUAAUCGAGGACAAUUGCUCUCCUUGGAAAACUGGCAAGAGAAGAACUGUUCAGCUUGUUCUUAGGUGACCACAUAAGGAUAAAAAGAGUAAGAGGAACAUUCAUGAAAUGACCACUGAGAGACUCGUAAGACACUCAAACAACCUUGCACAAGGGCAGGCAGCUGUGAAAGAAGCCCAGAGAGGAUGGUGUAUCAUUGCUUUACUAUAUGAAUAUGUACGUAGUCGAUGUUUCUUCUGAAUUAGAUAGGUGGAAUACUGUAUUAUACGUAUAUAUAUAUAUACUGUAUUGUACAAUAAUGUACAAAUAUAGUGAAGAAACUUG